rnacentral:rRNA from 1 species
ACGCUGGCGGCACGCCUAACACAUGCAAGUCGAACGAAGUAGCAAUACUUAGUGGCAGACGGGUGAGUAACAUGUGGGUAUCUGCCCUUUGGCCUGGAAUAACACGAGGAAACUUGUGCUAAUACUGGAUAAGUCUUUACGGAGAAAGCUUUAUGCACCAUUGGAUGAGCCCGCACUUGAUUAGUUUGUUGGUAGGGUAAUGGCCUACCAAGACUUUGAUCAAUAGCUGAUUUGAGAGGAUGAUCAGCCACAUUGGGACUGAGACACGGCCCAAACUCCUACGGGAGGCAGCAGUGGGGAAUCUUGCACAAUGGAGGAAACUCUGAUGCAGCGAUGCCGCGUGAGUGAAGAAGGCCCUUGGGUUGUAAAGCUCUUUCGUCGGGGAAGAAAAUGACUGUACCCGAAUAAGAAGGUCCGGCUAACUUCGUGCCAGCAGCCGCGGUAAUACGAAGGGACCUAGCGUAGUUCGGAAUUACUGGGCUUAAAGAGUUCGUAGGUGGUUGAAAAAGUUGGUGGUGAAAUCCCAGAGCUUAACUCUGGAACUGCCAUCAAAACUUUUCAGCUAGAGUUUGAUAGAGGAAAGCAGAAUUUCUAGUGUAGAGGUGAAAUUCGUAGAUAUUAGAAAGAAUACCAAUUGCGAAGGCAGCUUUCUGGAUCAUUACUGACGCUGAGGAACGAAAGCAUGGGUAGCGAAGAGGAUUAGAUACCCUCGUAGUCCAUGCCGUAAACGAUGUGUGUUAGACGUUGGAAAUUUAUUUUCAGUGUCGCAGCGAAAGCGAUAAACACACCGCCUGGGGAGUACGACCGCAAGGUUAAAACUCAAAUGAAUUGACGGGGACCCGCACAAGUAGUGGAGCAUGUGGUUUAAUUCGAAGAUACGCGCAGAACCUUACCAACACUUGACAUGUUCGUCGCGACUUUAAGAGAUUAAAGUUUUCGGUUCGGCCGGACGAAACACAGGUGCUGCAUGGCUGUCGUCAGCUCGUGUCGUGAGAUGUUGGGUUAAGUCCCGCAACGAGCGCAACCCUCACUUUUAGUUGCCAUCAUUAAGUUGGGCACUCUGAAAGAACUGCCAGUGAUAAGCUGGAGGAAGGUGGGGAUGACGUCAAGUCCUCAUGGCCCUUACGUGUUGGGCUACACACGUGCUACAAUGGUAUCUACAACAGGAAGCGAAACAGCGAUGUUAAGCAAAUCCUUAAAAGAUACCUCAGUUCGGAUUGCACUCUGCAACUCGAGUGCAUGAAGCUGGAAUUACUAGUAAUCGUGGAUCAGCGUGCCACGGUGAAUGCGUUCCCGGGUCUUGUACACACCGCCCGUCACACCAUGGGAGUUGGUUCUACCUUAAGGCAAGGUUUUAUACCCUUGACCACGGUAUAGUCAGCGACUGGGGUGAAGUCAUAACAAGGUAACCGUA